rnacentral:lncRNA from 1 species
AUGUUUUAUCAUAGAGACAUCAGAAAGCCUGAUGACGGUGAGACUGUUGAAGCUGUGGUUGUUCUCAGGUUAGUUAGAAUACCUCUACUACAUCUCUAUAGUCUACUCUGUCCUGGAUCAGUUUGCCUUGCUCUUCCUUUUAGUCAUGCUCAUCAUAAUCUCACUUUUAGUGACCAAGGAGGUGAGCCAGGAGAGGAGAGCAGGCAGCCCAUGGACAAUGAAGAGACAGGCGCUGACAACCCUCUGCUGAAUGGAGAUGCCAGUGGCCAAGGAGAGGAAGGUGUUCUAGGAAUGGAGGAUGGAAAGCUGUCAGACAAGGACAGAGCAGACACUGAAAUCUGUCAGAAGACACAUGCUGAUUCCCCUCCACUGAAUGUACCCAAGGUUGUCAGGGUUAACAGCCAGACUGAUGACACACAGCUUCUUGGUCAACCUCAGAGCAAUGGACAUGUGCCAUAUAGAAGGGAAUCACACCUGACCAAUGGGGCUCUAGGUCAGGGUGCUGGUGAGACUUCACCCCUCCUCUGCAGGUGA